GGAGGGGAGGCAACUCUUGGAAAGGGCAGAUAACAGCAGGACGGGGGGAAAUGGUGUGAAGUUGAGGGAGGGCAGACUGAGGUUGGAUGUGAGGGGGAAGUUGUUUGCUAUGAGAGUGGGGAGGUGCUGGAACAGCUGCCCAGAGAGGCUGUGGAUGCCCCGUCCAUCCCUGGAGGUGUUCAAGGCCAGGUUGGAUGGGGCCCUGGGCAGCCUGGGCUGGUAUGAAAUGGGGAGGUUGGUGGCCCUGUGUGUGGUGGGGGGUUGGAGCUCCACGAUCCUUGAG
rnacentral:lncRNA from 1 species